CAGCACCUCAAGUGGUCAGGAUGAUUAUUGGGCCUAAAUCAUCCGUAGCCGGCGCUGUAAGUUUUCGGUUAAAUCUGUACGCUCAACGUACAGGCUGCCGGGAAUACUGCAGCGCUAGGGAGUGGGAGAGGUAGACGGUACUCGGUAGGAAGGGGUAAAAUCCUUUGAUCUAUUGAUGACCACCUGUGGCGAAGGCGGUCUACCAGAACACGUCCGACGGUGAGGGAUGAAAGCUGGGGGAGCAAACCGGAUUAGAUACCCGAGUAGUCC
rnacentral:rRNA from 1 species